CAGCCGGCGGUAGGUUUCCUUCGGGAGACUGAGAGCGGCGCACGGGUGCGGAACACGUGUGCAACCUGCCUUUAUCAGGGGGAUAGCCUUUCGAAAGGAAGAUUAAUACCCCAUAAUAUUUUGAGUGGCAUCACUUGAAAUUGAAAACUCCGGUGGAUAAAGAUGGGCACGCGCAAGAUUAGAUAGUUGGUGAGGUAACGGCUCACCAAGUCUACGAUCUUUAGGGGGCCUGAGAGGGUGAUCCCCCACACUGGUACUGAGACACGGACCAGACUCCUACGGGAGGCAGCAGUGAGGAAUAUUGGACAAUGGGUGAGAGCCUGAUCCAGCCAUCCCGCGUGAAGGACGACGGCCCUAUGGGUUGUAAACUUCUUUUGUAUAGGGAUAAACCUUUCCACGUGUGGAAAGCUGAAGGUACUAUACGAAUAAGCACCGGCUAACUCCGUGCCAGCAGCCGCGGUAAUACGGAGGGUGCAAGCGUUAUCCGGAUUUAUUGGGUUUAAAGGGUCCGUAGGCGGAUCUGUAAGUCAGUGGUGAAAUCUCACAGCUUAACUGUGAAACUGCCAUUGAUACUGCAGGUCUUGAGUGUUGUUGAAGUAGCUGGAAUAAGUAGUGUAGCGGUGAAAUGCAUAGAUAUUACUUAGAACACCAAUUGCGAAGGCAGGUUACUAAGCAACAACUGACGCUGAUGGACGAAAGCGUGGGGAGCGAACAGGAUUAGAUACCCUGGUAGUCCACGCCGUAAACGAUGCUAACUCGUUUUUGGGUUUUCGGAUUCAGAGACUAAGCGAAAGUGAUAAGUUAGCCACCUGGGGAGUACGGACGCAAGUCUGAAACUCAAAGGAAUUGACGGGGGCCCGCACAAGCGGUGGAUUAUGUGGUUUAAUUCGAUGAUACGCGAGGAACCUUACCAAGGCUUAAAUGGGAAAUGACAGGUUUAGAAAUAGACUUUUCUUCGGACAUUUUUCAAGGUGCUGCAUGGUUGUCGUCAGCUCGUGCCGUGAGGUGUUAGGUUAAGUCCUGCAACGAGCGCAACCCCUGUCACUAGUUGCCAUCAUUCAGUUGGGGACUCUAGUGAGACUGCCUACGCAAGUA
rnacentral:rRNA from 1 species